rnacentral:rRNA from 1 species
GAUGAACGCUGGCGGCGUGCCUAAUACANGCAAGUCAGAGCGAACCUGAGGGAGCUUGCUCCCAAAGUUAGCGGCGGACGGGUGAGUAACACGUGGGCAACCUGCCUAUAAGACUGGGAUAACUUCGGGAAACCGGAGCUAAUACCGGAUAACAUAUGAGACCACAUGGUCUCAUAUUGAAAGAUGGCUUUUAGCUACCACUUAUAGAUGGGCCCGCGGCGCAUUAGCUAGUUGGUGAGGUAAUGGCUCACCAAGGCGACGAUGCGUAGCCGACCUGAGAGGGUGAUCGGCCACACUGGGACUGAGACACGGCCCAGACUCCUACGGGAGGCAGCAGUAGGGAAUCUUCCGCAAUGGACGAAAGUCUGACGGAGCAACGCCGCGUGAGCGAAUAAGGUCUUCGGAUCGUAAAGCUCUGUUGUUAGGGAAGAACAAGUACCGUUCGAAUAGGGCGGUACCUUGACGGUACCUAACCAGAAAGCCACGGCUAACUACGUGCCAGCAGCCGCGGUAAUACGUAGGUGGCAAGCGUUAUCCGGAAUUAUUGGGCGUAAAGCGCGCGCAGGCGGUCCUUUAAGUCUGAUGUGAAAGCCCACGGCUCAACCGUGGAGGGUCAUUGGAAACUGGGGGACUUGAGUGCAGAAGAGGAGAGCGGAAUUCCACGUGUAGCGGUGAAAUGCGUAGAGAUGUGGAGGAACACCAGUGGCGAAGGCGGCUCUCUGGUCUGUAACUGACGCUGAGGCGCGAAAGCGUGGGGAGCGAACAGGAUUAGAUACCCUGGUAGUCCACGCCGUAAACGAUGAGUGCUAAGUG